CUGGGGCUAGCCCAUGGGAGCCUGUGCUUGAGCUGCUUCUCAUGGGAGGCCCUAGAGAUGCUACAGUCACUCCCGAGUUUGGGGAGAAGAUGCCCGAGAGUCAGGAGAACUGGAGGGAAUUCCGGCCCGGGGCCUGCAGCCACUCUGCCAGGGUCCUCACUUUUGCUCACCUAUGCACCAUGUUUUGCAUCUGAGUCAUCAGAGCGAGCGUGCCAGCCACCUCACCAACAUCCUAUUCUGGGGAAACUCCAUUACUCCUGCAUACAUUAUAUCCAGAUGGGUAGCACGAGCUUCAGGGAUGCACCCGAAUUCAUGGAGUUAACUGUGGUAGAUAGAGGCAGAAAGGGCCCUGCGGUUCUGAUUUCCAAACCCUGGCUGGGCUGUUGAAAAUAAACUACAUCGAUA
rnacentral:lncRNA from 1 species